rnacentral:rRNA from 1 species
UACGAGGGGGGGCAAAUGCUGUUCGGAAUCACUGGGCGUAAAGGGUGUGUAGGCGGGCUGGUAAGUCAGGGGUGAAAUCCCGGAGCUCAACUCCGGAACUGCCUUUGAUACUACUGGUCUUGAAUAUUGUUGAGGUGGGCGGAAUGUGUCAUGUAGCGGUGAAAUGCAUAGAUAUGACACAGAACACCGAUUGCGAAGGCAGCUCACUGGGCAAUGAUUGACGCUGAGGCACGAAAGCGUGGGGGAUCAAACAGG